CAAGAGAUCACAUACGAUCGUCCAUUUAUUGACCAUUUAGUCUAUUUUUAAUCGAUAAUUUCAUUAGACUUCUUGUACACUAGGCUAUCCCGUGUUCGAAUAUAAUUAUGCGGUAAACGCUACUAACCCCCAAAAUAAAGAGUGGACAAAUCACGAGCACAUCAAACUUAUUACUGGCCUGGGCUUAACCCGGACCUGAACCGAAAUGAAGGGAUCAGAUAUGUUACAGAUCUAUAGAAAACCCCGAUCGGGUUUCGUUUGGCAGUUCGGCUUAAACUGAUAACCAAAGAGUAACCUGAAGUGAACCGAACCUAUAUAAUAUAUAACAUAUCUAUCUAUCUAUCUAUCUAUAAUAAUAAAAUAGAGUAUUCUCUCUUCUCAGGCCUCCACGCCAUCAAGAACAUAGGGGUAAAAGCUGCCACGUCAGCAUGUCUAAACCACUCUACGUCUACGACUUAUGAUAAUUUGUUUACGUAUUGGGUUUCUUUAUUUUAAAUUAAUUGGGCUCACUACUUUAACUUUCGAGUGGACCUAAAUUCUAUAUAUCUUAAUAAAAACCCACAUACAGGGGAUCAAUCAUCGUCUCUCACCUCCCUGUUUGACGAAAGAUUAGUUACAGUAACCUUUGAUGUUCAUCCUACUGCCUCUGGUUAGUCAAAUCCGUAACGGUCUCGAGGUGCAUUCAGUCUAUCUAAUUACCUUCUCAUUAACGCCAUUGAUCUACCACCUAUACUACUCCGCAUUUAAGACAUCCCCUUCUUCCUCCAUGUUAGCCAAUCUAGACCUAUAAAUAAGAGAGUCUGCAUCGUAGAUACACAUCAUUGCUCCUUAUCGAACACUAUACUAAGAGAAUCAAUCACCAACUAUGUCGACCUCCCCAUUUUGAUCGCCUAUUUGAAAGCCGGCUACUGUCACGAACACCGUCAAAGUCCGAUUGUUGAGGUUUUGGAAAGCUCAUGGGGUAGACAUGUCCUCUUCGACCAGAAGGUCUUCAAAACGAAUUGCAGUAUACUAGGAAAAUCUAUGUCACCGGCACGGAAGAGCACACAAAACCACCAUGAAUGUGCUUACAAUAGCUGGAAUCAUAGGAGAAGAAGGCAUCGAGUGAAAAAGCUGAAUUUUAAUUGAGCAAGAGAUUCACAUGUUGCGAGAAAAAAGAUUUGCUCAAUGGAAAGAGAGGUCACCAACUAAGCUUUGGUAUAAGGGGGAUAUCAUAUAAGGAAGUGGCACUCAGGAGCAUCCACCACUUAUAUCCUUUAGAGACCCUGACCAUCUCUAUUUUCACUAAGUUUUUGGAGAAGGUAUGGGAAAAUCUUACUUUAAAGCUUUUUGGUUCAAGUACACAACAGUAGAUACGGAUAUUAGAUAUUCUGGUUGAAAUUAUUGGGAUCAAGUCAGUCAGUUUAUCAUUCAGUAUGUAUUCCAAGCAACAAUUCACUUAGUAUGACGGAAGAGGAACGUAAUGACUUCAAUUCCUGCAUCUUGUGUAAUACAAAACAUUGACAAAAUUGUCUGGUACAAAAUUUCAUCUCUGCUAGGAUAAGAGGCAAUCAAUAUGUAGAAGCUAUGGAAAUUUGGUUUGCUUCAAGAUGACAAAUCUGAUCUUCAAAUAACUUUGGGAAAUUUGUUAACUAAUCAUUUGUCUCAACACACCUUUUCUAUUAUUUACCCUUUUUGUUCAUUUUACCCUUUACUAAAUUAUAAAAUAUUAUAAAUAAAUACAUUUCUGAACUUUUACAGUAAAAUAAAAAAAAACAUUAAUAUUUGAUUGGUUAGAAUUUAUUUUCGAAGAAUUAAAAAAAAUUGUUAUAAAUUUUCUAAAACUAAUUCUGCUUAAUCUAGAAGUUAUCUUCUGCAUCUAGGGGAAAGCAUAACACAUAUUCUAAUAUCUGAACUAUUGGUACCAAAGUUAGAACAGGAACUCUAAGAACUAGCCAAGAUUACGAAUAUAAACAUUUCCUUUCUAAGAUGUCACUAGAAAAUAAUUUGGAUUUAUGUUUAUAAAAUUUCAUUACACACAUACUUUAGAUAAACCAUUUAAUUAAUUUAUUGCAACAAAAUAACUUGAAAUAAAUAAAAUUAAAAACCGUUAAUACAAAAGCUUACAAAAUACUCUUAUGUAAAAAUAAAUAUUAGAUUGAUUAUGGGAAGAUCACAUUUUUCUUAUGUUUCAAACUUCCUAAAUAAAUGUACAGAGAGAAAGUAAAAUAAAAAAAGAUCAUCACAUUUCCAUGAAUAUUUUCUUCCUAAUACACUAUGGAAAAUUUGAUUUUACAGUCACAAUUUUUUUUUAAAUACCAUAUUAAAAUAAUUCUAAGCAAAUAAUAUUAGAAAAUGUGUGAAUCAUCAAAAAUAUAAACAACCAUAAAAAUUAAAAUAAAAUUUCUCCGGAUUUGAUAGCAGAAUGUAUUCUCAAAUAAUAAAAACACAAAGCCUGAGAACUUCGAAAAAGAAACACACACCACUUCUCAAAUAAUAAAACUAUCGCCACUACACUUAGAGAUUUACCAAGACAAAGACUUAGCAUAUCUACACAACAUAUUCAAAUAACAACAUAUUCAAAUAACAAUACGUUACAUUCCGCGCGAAGCGCGGACGCACCACUAGUAUACAUAUAUACAUAACACAAGUGAGUCUCUUCCUCUUUUCGAUACUUUUUGUUUCAGAGCAAAAUCAUUAAACAAGAAGCUAUUCAUCUUCUUCUACUUUUCGAAAUCCCUAAUCAUAUCUGCUAUUAAACCUAAAGAGCCUCUUGUGUUUCAAAAACUUACUCAUUCUCCAUCUUCUUCGAUUUCAUGAAAACAACCCCAUGUGAAUAACAACUUAUGAAUUUCACAAUCCAUAAUCUCCUAUUUCUUCACAUGUUCUGUGAUUCGAUUUGGAGUUUGGAUGAGAAGAAAUUAGGUUUUCUAAAUCUUAGGGUUUAGAGUUAUGGAAUGCUAGGGGUUUCUGUUAGGGUUACUUAACUUGAAUACGAUUGAAUGUUAGGUUUCUUUUCGAUUGAAUGUAAUUUCUUCUCUUAUGAAUCACGAAUGAUUCUACAUGUAGUUUUUUUUCAGAUAGAUUCAUCUUCAACUCCAAACCGUGUUACUCUUAACAAUGAAAAAUAUGUAGAAGGUGAUGAAGAACAAGAGUUGAUGACUCCAAAUAGUAGAGGCAAGCAUAAAAAACACCUGGAGCUAGUGGAGAAACAUACCAAGCAAAGAAAUCUCCUCGAGUUCUUCCUACAAGGUCUAAAGUUUGGGAAUGUUAUACAAGAAUAAAGGAGAAUCGUGACAAAUGAAUUUGUCAUUAAUGCAAGAAGGAGUUUUGUUGCUCAACAAGGUCGGGAACAUCAAACUUGAUGAAGCAUCUUACUGUCUAGAAACACUACUUGGCAUUUUCAGAGGCCAAAGUUCCACUCAGCCUGAUAUCAAUGAAGAAGGAAAACUGAAGUCUGAAAAAGUCAAUGAAACUAUUUUCGGAGAAGUUACUAUUGAGAUGAUGGUGAUAGGAGAGUUACCAUUGAGUUUCAUAGAAAGUGUUGCUUGGAAAAAAUUUUGUUCUAAGAUGAAUCUAUACAAACAUGUUUCAAAAAGGACAUCAACAAGAGACACUGUUGAGCUGUAUGUGCAGAGGAAGGCCGUUAUGAAGAAAUGGUUUAAAGCUUAUAAGCACAAUGUUUUUCUGACUACAAUGUUGCUGUUACAUGGUUGUCACUUCCCAUUACAUUUAUGCUUGUUGGCGACUGAAGAAGCUCAUCAAUGAGUUCAAACCCGUCACUGAUCACAAAGGUCAGACAAUUUCUAAGGUUCUUUUGGAUAUCUUAGUUGGCUGUGGAAGAGAAAAUGUAUUUUUGUAACUGUAGACAAUGCAACAACUAAUUCUUCGACUUUGAGGAUA